GAUGAACGCUGGCGGCGUGCCUAAUACAUGCAAGUAGAACGCUGAAGGAAGGAGCUUGCUCUUUCCGGAUGAGUUGCGAACGGGUGAGUAACGCGUAAGUAACCUGCCUGGUAGCGGGGGAUAACUAUUGGAAACGAUAGCUAAUACCGCAUAACAGUAGAUGUUGCAUGAUAUCUACUUAAAAGGUGCAAUUGCACCACUACCAGAUGGACCUGCGUUGUAUUAGCUAGUUGGUGAGGUAACGGCUCACCAAGGCGACGAUACAUAGCCGACCUGAGAGGGUGAUCGGCCACACUGGGACUGAGACACGGCCCAGACUCCUACGGGAGGCAGCAGUAGGGAAUCUUCGGCAAUGGACGGAAGUCUGACCGAGCAACGCCGCGUGAGUGAAGAAGGUUUUCGAAUCGUAAAGCUCUGUUGUAAGAGAAGAACGAGUGUGAGAGUGGAAAGUUCACACUGUGACGGUAUCUUACCAGAAAGGGACGGCUAACUACGUG
rnacentral:rRNA from 1 species